GAUGAACGCUGGCGGCGUGCCUAAUACAUGCAAGUCGAGCGAACAGAUGAGGAGCUUGCUCCUCUGACGUUAGCGGCGGACGGGUGAGUAACACGUGGAUAACCUACCUAUAAGACUGGGAUAACUUCGGGAAACCGGAGCUAAUACCGGAUAAUAUAUUGAACCGCAUGGUUCAAUAGUGAAAGACGGUUUUGCUGUCACUUAUAGAUGGAUCCGCGCCGCAUUAGCUAGUUGGUAAGGUAACGGCUUACCAAGGCAACGAUGCGUAGCCGACCUGAGAGGGUGAUCGGCCACACUGGAACUGAGACACGGUCCAGACUCCUACGGGAGGCAGCAGUAGGGAAUCUUCCGCAAUGGGCGAAAGCCUGACGGAGCAACGCCGCGUGAGUGAUGAAGGUCUUCGGAUCGUAAAACUCUGUUAUUAGGGAAGAACAAAUGUGUAAUUAACUAUGCACGUCUUGACGGUACCGAAUCAGAAAGCCACGGCUAACUACGUG
rnacentral:rRNA from 1 species